AUAUUGCAGAGCAACUUGAAAGGGGGAGCUGGCCGCGUAGGAGGUGAGAGCCAGCCGCAAAAAUCCGUUCGGCGGCAUUUUCUCUUCAAACCCGCCCGGUCGGAUGUGGCAUUUGAAGAAAGAAGGCGUGGGUCAAUAAUCAACCCGCACUUUCUCCUCCAAACUGCUGACGCGACUCUCACCGCCUUCUCAGCUAAGCCAGCUGCCGGGAAGGCCAGCUCUCCGUAAGAACCUGCCAGGGGAAGGGAUUCUCUGGGCCAAGGGGACCGAGGGCUCCCGAGCAAGGGCUGGGGCGCCCUGAAAGCAUACCUUUCCACUGGCGCCAAGACCCUGCCGGGCAAAACGCGGGGACCAGACCUGAGGAGCCGUGGGAGCCCAGGGAGAUCUGGGGCGGGAGCUUCGUUCCGGCCAGGGCCUCUAUCCGCCCCGAUACGUGGCUCCUGGGCCGCGGGCCUCAGCGGGCAGAAGUGGGGCUCCGACCUCAAGAUGAAGGUCCAGCGUCCUGGCAUGCAGAUGGUCGGUGCCCCAGCCUCAAGCCGCUCUGCUUAAAUCCAAAGGACUGGCUUUGGAGCAAGCGUAGGCGAGAUUAUUUUAAAAUAAUAAUUUAUGCUGGCGGAAGGUUUUUAUUUGUUGGUUUGCUAUUGGUGUUUUGUUUUUUAAGCGAAAAUGCCGAUUGUUGAUUUCCACCUCCAGAAAUUACCAGCCGCCGCCGCUGCGCCCUUUCUAGACAAAUCCCACAGCAGUUCACCCGGCUCCCCCAAAACCGCAGAGCUUUUCUUUACUGAGAGGACCCCUUGGUUCCACCAAUUCCCCCAAAUCCCCGUGGCUCCCGAUCUCUCAUCCAGGGGGACUAGAAGAAAAGAUUUUCUCAGCACUAGAAGAAUACUUGGAGCAGCAAAGGUGCCCGUGGUGUCUUUCUACCAUUCAAGGGGUGUCCUCCUGAAGGCGUCUGAGAGGGCCUCUGGCGGUUCCAAGGCUGUGCAGCCGGGGAGGAAGGAAAAGGAAACGCCAAGACAUAGAAAACCACGCUUUUCCCGUAGGAAGAACCGAUGAUGAGCCCUGAUGAAAGAAGGAAGAAGACCCGCUGUCUGCGAAGGCCUAAAGGUUAGAAAUACAGCAAUUUUUCUCAUGCCGAAGGAAAGGCAAAAUGGUCUAAGAAACUGCAAGAGUGUGAUACAAGUUUUCCUCAACAGCGAGCUGGGACUGGCGACAAUUUCUUAACUCACAGCCUCCGCAGUCGCCUUAGUCGACAAAGAGAGCAGCCCACGCAGCGGCCGCCGCGCCCGUGCCCGUGGCCUUUACUUGCUUUUGCCCUGAAGUUCAGUGUAGUGGUUUGUUUGGGGCUUGCAGGAAGAAACAAACACACUCCCUCUGACUCUCCACAACCCAUCUUUGCCUUCUGCAACCGCUUCUCCUGCCCAUCGCUGGUUUUGGGGUAGGCUCUUUGUCUGCCUGAGGCCCCGCACUCGCAGGGCAAGAAGCUUAAAGGAAUCCAACUCCAAACUCCUCCGAAGUUAAAUAUUGACCAGAACCUCUUUCAACAGGCCGCGGUUGCCAGGAACCGUGGAGGGCCAACUCCUCCCAACCGCCCUGGUGCAAAGUCCCACGCGGCGAAGAGUUUUGGAGCAGCGCUUACCUAGAAAGAUGUUUAAAUUCUGAACCAGGAAUUGUCUCCAACUCCAGGCGCUCAGGGAAUCGCCUUUUCCGGUGUCCAGGCGCUCUGCAGACAAAUAAACAGCAGAAGGUGAAUGGCGGCUGCGAGGGAAGGGAGUUGGAGGCCGGGAGUGGGAAGCGAGGCUCAUGCGGGCGCCAAGGUGGCCCUGGGGGUGACGCGAACAUCAGGGAGUCACCAGGGCACUCGUCCGUGUGGCGCACUCAUUGCUCGAAAUGUUCCAGUCUACAAAUGGUCCGAAGAUGGUGAUUUAUUUUUGUAAAAUAAAUACAUACUCCAUCUCCACACCCAUACUUUCUCCUUUUUCUUUCUUUUUUUUGGCGGGGGAGUGGGGAAGGAAAGGACAUGAAGCAAACAGAGGAAGCUGAGAAGGUGGAAGUGGCUUUGCUGGUGGUGUGGGCUGCUUUCAGAGAGCUCUCUCCUCAGGCACCACAACUUGGAGAAUGUGAAUGCUUGCUUUAUUUUCCUUUCCUAACAAAAGGAAGCCUUGUCUGGGAGCAUUCAAUCACGGACUCUCCUGAAACCUCACUAAUAUGUGUUCAUUUCUGUAGGCGCGAAAUCAGACCCGGGUUCAUUCCACUGGCCAGAGGCAGUCUUGGGAGGAUUUGUGUUCUGGUUUAUUCAACUCUGGGUGCGUUCCUUUUAGGUCCUAGUGGGCUGGCGGGGCUACCGCAGCACCUAGUCCCUCAGAGCAGGCCAGCUAAGGCUGCUGGAAACUGAGAGGGACGCCGGCUGGUACAAUACCUGCUCAGGGGCCCUGCUCCUGCCUGGCCUUGCGCAACG
ensembl:lncRNA HOXA-AS2 HOXA cluster antisense RNA 2